GAGCCAGCACAGCACACAGAAUGCCGUUUACCUUCCCGCUGGAAAGUGACUCAAAAAGGCACGAAGUGUGUGGAAUGGCAAUCGCUUGAUGUGACUCGUGGCAUCACCUUCCCCACACGUGAAUCAGAAUGAAAGCUCAAUAAACGGCCGGGGUGUACCCUGCCGACUUUGUGCAAACAAGUAAGGAUUGAUGAUAAAUAAACGAGUCGUCUGCAACUGAA